rnacentral:rRNA from 1 species
UGUAAGCGUAUACCAAAGUUGUUGCAGUUAAAACGCUCGUAGUCGGAAUUUGGCAGUUCCGGAUGUGUGCACGUCGUGUGCGCACUUCGCGGGGAUUGCUUUUGUGGUCUUGCGUAGGAUGAGGCACUUUUAUUAGUGAACGUCCUCACGCAACCACUUUUUACUGUGAGAAAAUCAGAGUGCUCAAAGCAGGCAUUUGCCGUGAAUGUAUUAGCAUGGAAUAAUAGAAUAGGACUUGGUUCUAUUUUGUUGGUUUGUUGGGACUGAGUAAUGAUUAAGAGGGACAGUUGGGGGCAUUUGUAUGUCGGUGCUAGAGGUGAAAUUCUUAGAUUACCGAAAGACAAACUGCUGCGAAAGCGUCUGCCAAGGAUGUUUUCAUUGA